UACGUAGGGGGCAAGCGUCAUCCGGAUUUACUGGGUGUAAAGGGAGCGUAGGCGGUGCAGCAAGUCAGAAGUGAAAGCCCGGGGCUCAACUCCGGGACUGCUUUUGAAACUGUUGAACUAGAUUGCAGGAGAGGUAAGUGGAAUUCCUAGUGUAGCGGUGAAAUGCGUAGAUAUUAGGAGGAACACCAGUGGCGAAGGCGGCUUACUGGACUGUAAAUGACGCUGAGGCUCGAAAGCGUGGGGAGCAAACAGG
rnacentral:rRNA from 1 species